rnacentral:rRNA from 1 species
GACAGAGGUGCCGAGCGUUAGGCGGAAUCACUGGGCUUAAAGCGUGUGUAGGCGGGCGGGCAAGUACCUUGUGAAAUCCCACGGCUCAACUGUGGAACGGCUGGGCAUACUGGCGGUCUUGAGCCAUCUAGGGGCGACUGGAACAAACGGUGGAGCGGUGAAAUGCGUAGAUAUCGUUUGGAACGCCAAUGGUGAAAACAGGUCGCUGGGGAUGAGCUGACGCUGAGACACGAAAGCCAGGGGAGCAAACGGG